rnacentral:rRNA from 1 species
UACGUAGGGGGCGAGCGUUGUCCGGAUUUAUUGGGCGUAAAGAGCGUGUAGGCGGUUCGGUAAGUCUGUCGUGAAAUCCUGAGGCUCAACCUCGGGCGUGCGAUGGAUACUGCCGGGCUAGAGGAUGGUAGAGGCGAGUGGAAUUCCCGGUGUAGCGGUGAAAUGCGCAGAUAUCAGGAGGAACACCGAUGGCGAAGGCAGGUCUCUGGGCCACGACUGACGCUGAGAAGCGAAAGCAUGGGGAGCGAACAGG